UUUCAGUGUAACCAUAAGUUACCACGCUCAAUCGUUUUAUUUGAAUUUUUUUAUAAUUAGUAAUUUUAUUAUUAUUAUAUGAUAAAAUAUGAAUAUUACUUUAUACAUAACUUAUGUUUUAAGUUUUUUUUAAAUUUUUUCAAAUAAGUCGAACGAUCAAAGUUAUGCACGAAAAAUUAUGGCUGCAUUUAAA
rnacentral:pre_miRNA from 1 species